rnacentral:rRNA from 1 species
GACGAACGCUGGCGGCGCGCUUAACACAUGCAAGUCGAGCGAGAACCAUGGCUUCGGCCAUGGGGACAGCGGCAAACGGGUGAGUAACACGUGAGUAAUCUGCCCUCGACACUGGGAUAGCCCGGGGAAACCCGGAUUAAUACCGGAUAGCCUUUCAAGCUCUCGGGCUCGUCAAAAAAGAUGGCUUCGGCUUUCGGUUGAGGAUGAGCUUGCGGCGGAUUAGCUUGUUGGUGAGGUAACGGCUCACCAAGGCAACAAUCCGUAGCUGGUCUGAGAGGACAAUCAGCCACACUGGGACUGAAACACGGCCCAAACUCCUACGGGGGGCAGCAGUGGGGAAUCUUGCGCAAUGAGCGAAAGCUUGACGCACCGACGCCGCGUGAGGGAAGAAGGCCUUCGGGUUGUAAACCUCUUUCAGGAGGGACAAACCCACUCGGGUUAAUACCCCAAAGGGUGACGGUACCUCCAAAAAAAGCCCCGGCUAACUACGUG